rnacentral:lncRNA from 1 species
GGAGGGGGAGUGUGUACCCAGCACAUUCCACCUAUUAGAGUUUUUAUAUUUGAAUUAACAUAAAUAUAAAUUUUGGCAAAAAGCAGAUAACAAAAAUCUUGUAAACUGACUUAGUAAAAUUGAUUAGGGCAUCACAUCCCCCAUUCUCAAAUCAUGGCUCAAUAACUGGUUAUUCCUUAUACAUGUAUGCUGUCAUUACAACGAGUUAAAUGUAGAUAUGUAAAUAUUAAUAAGGCAUUAUCUGAUAAUACACACAACCCCAAUUUCACCCUCAUUAACACAUAUUGUUCAGCAAUAAACAAUAAAAAUAUUUUGAUACAAUAAAUGUAAUACUGUUUCUUUCAAUGAUGUCAAGGUUU